UACGAAGGGGGCUAGCGUUGCUCGGAAUUACUGGGCGUAAAGCGCACGUAGGCGGCUUUCUAAGUCGGGGGUGAAAUCCUGGAGCUCAACUCCAGAACUGCCUUCGAUACUGGAAAGCUCGAGUCCGGGAGAGGUGAGUGGAAUUGCGAGUGUAGAGGUGAAAUUCGUAGAUAUUCGCAAGAACACCAGUGGCGAAGGCGGCUCACUGGCCCGGUACUGACGCUGAGGAGCGAAAGCGUGGGUAGCAAACAGG
rnacentral:rRNA from 1 species